GGGAUAAGAGCCUGCCAGGGUAGCCAAGAAUGACCUGCCUCCAAAUUCUUACUAAAGGAUACUCUCUUAAAUCUUUUUACAGAAACACCAUUGGUAGCCAUAUUAUUGUGGAUUAAGUUUGGCAUGUUUCUCUUGUGUAGAAGAGGCUUUUUAUGCGUAGAAAUCCGAUAGAAAGCUGCAGGCAAGUCAUCCUUGGCUGCCAGGAAGAACUCUUCAUC
rfam:Beta vulgaris subsp. vulgaris Bvchr6.sca027.con0097.1, whole genome shotgun sequence.